rnacentral:rRNA from 1 species
GACGAACGCUGGCGGCGCGCCUAACACAUGCAAGUCGAGCGGAGAUACUUGAAGGAAGUUUUCGGAUGGAAUUUGAGUAUUUUAGCGGCGGACGGGUGAGUAACGCGUGAGUGACCUGCCUUCCACAGGGGGAUAACGUACCGAAAGGUACACUAAUACCGCAUGAGACCACAGCACUGCCUGGUGAAGGGGGCAAAGGAGCAAUCCGGUGGAAGAUGGACUCGCGUCCGAUUAGAUAGUUGGUGGGGUAACGGCCUACCAAGUCAGCGAUCGGUAGCCGACCUGAGAGGGUGAUCGGCCACAUUGGAACUGAGAGACGGUCCAAACUCCUACGGGAGGCAGCAGUGGGGAAUAUUGGGCAAUGGGGGAAACCCUGACCCAGCGACGCCGCGUGAGGGAAGAAGGUUUUCGGAUUGUAAACCUCUGUUCUUGGUGAAGAGGGAAAGACGGUAGCCAAGGAGGAAGCCCCGGCUAACUACGUGCCAGCCGCCGCAGUAA